rnacentral:rRNA from 1 species
UGACGGGCCGCACAAGCGUGGAGUAUGUGGUUUAAUUCGAUGCAACGCGAAGAACCUUACCUGGUCUUGACAUCCCGGAGACCCUUAGGAAACUAGGGGGUGCUUCCAUCUGGAAGAAUCUGGAGACAGGUGCUGCAUGGCUGUCGUCAGCUCGUGUCGUGAGAUGUUGGGUUAAGUCCCGCAACGAGCGCAACCCUUGCCUUUAGUUGCCAGCAGUUCGGCUGGGCACUCUAAAGGGACUGCCGGUGUUAAACCGGAGGAAGGUGGGGAUGACGUCAAGUCCUCAUGGCCUUUAUGACCAGGGCUACACACGUACUACAAUGGCCGAUACAAAGGGCAGCGACACUGCGAGGUGAAGCCAAUCCCGUAAAAUCGGUCUCAGUCCGGAUUGGAGUCUGCAACUCGACUCCAUGAAGUUGGAAUCGCUAGUAAUCGUGGAUCAGCAUGCCACGGUGAAUACGUUCCCGGGCCUU